UACGGGGGGAGCAAGCGUUGUUCGGAUUCACUGGGCGUAAAGGGCGCGUAGGCGGCCACCGCAAGUCAGUUGUGAAAGCUCUGGGCUUAACCCAGAAAGGUCAGCUGAUACUGCGGGGCUAGAGUGCAGAAGGGGCAACUGGAAUUCUCGGUGUAGCGGUGAAAUGCGUAGAUAUCGAGAGGAACACCUGCGGCGAAGGCGGGUUGCUGGGCUGACACUGACGCUGACAGCGCGAAAGCUAGGGGAGCGAACGGG
rnacentral:rRNA from 1 species